rnacentral:rRNA from 1 species
UACGGGGGGAGCAAGCGUUGUUCGGAUUUACUGGGCGUAAAGGGCGCGUAGGCGGUUCGGUAAGUCGGGUGUGAAAACUUUGGGCUCAACCCAAAGCGUGCACUCGAUACUGCCAUGACUAGAGUUCGGUAGGGGAGUGGGGAAUUCCUAGUGUAGCGGUGAAAUGCGCAGAUAUUAGGAGGAACACCGGUGGCGAAGGCGCCACUCUGGGCCGAAACUGACGCUGAGGAGCGAAAGCGUGGGUAGCAAACAGG